rnacentral:rRNA from 1 species
UAGCAUAUCAAUAAGCGGAGGAAAAGAAACUAACAAGGAUUCCCCUAGUAACUGCGAGUGAAGCGGGAAAAGCUCAAAUUUAAAAUCUGGCAGUCUUGGCUGUCCGAGUUGUAGUCUGGAGAAGCGUCUUCCGCGCUGGACCGUGUACAAGUUCCUUGGAAUAGUACAUCAUAGAGGGUGAGAAUCCCGUCUUUGACACGGACUACCAGUGCUUUGUGAUGCGCUCUCAAAGAGUCGAGUUGUUUGGGAAUGCAGCUCAAAAUGGGUGGUAAAUUCCAUCUAAAGCUAAAUAUUGGCGAGAGACCGAUAGCGAACAAGUACCGUGAGGGAAAGAUGAAAAGCACUUUGGAAAGAGAGUUAAACAGUACGUGAAAUUGCUGAAAGGGAAACGCUUGAAGUCAGUCGCGUUGUUCAGAACUCAGCCUGGCUUCUGCCUGGUGUAUUUUCUGUUCGACGGGCCAGCAUCAAUUUUGAUCAUUGGAAAAAGGCCAGGGGAAUGUGGCACCCUCGGGUGUGUUAUAGCCUCUGGUUGCAUACAAUGGUUGGGAUUGAGGAUCUCAGCAUGCCUUUGGUCGGGGUUCGCCCACGUUCAUGCUUAGGAUGCUGGCGUAAUGGCUUUAAACGACCCGUCUUGAAACACGGACCAAGGAGUCUAACAUGCCUGCGAGUGUUUGGGUGGAAAACCCGAGCGCGCAAUGAAAGUGAAAGUUGGGAUCCCUGUCGUGGGGAGCACUGACGCCCGGACUUGACCUUCUGUGACGGAUCCGCGGUAGAGCAUGUAUGUUGGGACCCGAAAGAUGGUGAACUAUGCCUGAAUAGGGUGAAGCCAGAGGAAACUCUGGUGGAGGCUCGUAGCGAUUCUGACGUGCAAAUCGAUCGUCAAAUUUGGGUAUAGGGGCGAAAGACUAAUCGAACCAUCUAGUAGCUGGUUCCUGCGA